GCCUGGGUGGCUCAGUCGGUUGAGCGUCUGACUUCAGUUCAGAUCAUGAUCUCACAGCUUAUGAGUUCAAGCCCUACUUCGGGCU
rnacentral:tRNA from 1 species